UCCACCAGGGCUCCUUAACUCUAAACCAGUUGGAACUGAGCUGCCCCUAUCCCUCUCCUCCUCCUAGAAAAGCGUGCCUAAGGGCCCAGUUAUUCUAGAGGCCAUCCCACCCUGGACACGUGGCUGCUGGAAGAGUAGAGGCGAUAAUGGAGAAAGUGCUGCACCUGUCUUGAGGACAGAACUGCCUGGUGAUGCUGUUACCUGGAGCAGCCCUGCCCCCAUCUGAACUAAAGACUUCUCUGGCAACAGGAGCUCCCCAUGAACGUGAUUCAACUCUCCAAGUGUCAGUCCAACCAUGGUGUGGACCCAGGCACGCACCGAUGCACAUGGAGCACAGACGACAGAACCUGGAGAACUAUGUGAAACUCUUUAAUGGCUCUGCGUGACACGAGGAGCCCAGAGCAGUGACAAUCACCUAGACACUAGAGGCUGGAAACCUUUAACAUUGAGAAAGAGUUCUCAGAUUUGGUUUGCUCACAGUUCAGCGAGAUUUGCCCAUCUAAACUGAAUCGAGGAACCCUGUGGAGGGAAGGCAUCUGGAAGCUGGGAGAAGGCACCAUCACCUCUUCCUCCCAGACCACAACACAAGGCCAAGGGAAUGGAGAUGAGUCAAGGAAAGUUCUGUGUUGUUACUGUUAAGCCUGGUUUCCAUUCAUUUUUUUAAUCCUCUUUCAUUGCUUU